GGAUAGCUCAGUUGGUUAGUGCCUAGUGCGGAUAAUGCCAAGGUUGCAGGUUCGAUCCCUGUAUGGGACA
rnacentral:tRNA from 1 species